CUUUCUGACCUGUCCUACAUCCAAAGUCACCGAGCUCCCAGCCUGCAGCCACUGUGGAGGCCAGAGGACAUUUGAGUUUCAGCUUAUGCCAGCAUUGGUCAGCAUGCUCAAAAGUGCUAAUUUAGGUCUUUCUGUGGAAUUUGGAACAAUUCUUGUUUACACAUGUGAGAAGAGCUGUUGGCCUCAAAAUCAUCAGACUCCCAUGGAAGAAUAUUGUAUUAUACAAGAAGACCCAGAUGAAUUAUUAUUUAAGUAGAGCAUUUCCUUUUAUUUUUAUAAAUUAAAAUAAAUUUUAAUGUCCAAA